GCGCCACUCCAGCCUAGGUGACAGAGUGAGGCACUGUCUCAAAAAAAUAAUAAAAAAGAAAUAAUGUCAGCAAAGCCUGAGUCCUGUCCUCUCUCUCUCCCCCCUGGACAGCAUGAGCUUCACCACUCCACCUUCUCCUCCAACUACCCUACUGGUCCCUGGGCUCUGUCCAGACGCCUAGCUAUGGCACCUUGCUGGUCAGCAGCCCAGUCAGCAUCUAUGCAGGCCCCAGGGGCUCUGGUUCCCGGAUCUCCAAGUCCUGCUCCACCAGCUUCCGGGGUGGCAUGGGGUCCGGGGACCUGUCCGUGGGGAUGGCUGGGGAUCUGGCAGGAAUGGGAGGCAUCCAGAAUGAGAAGGAGACCAUGCAAAGCCUGAACGACCUUCUGGCCUCCUACCUGGACAGAAUGAGGAGCCUGGAGACCAAGAACCAGAAGCUGGAGAGCAAAAUCCGGGAGCACCUGGAGAAGAAGGGACCCAGGUCAGAGACUGGAGCCAUUACUUCAAAACCAUCGAGGACCUGAGGGCUCAGAUCUUCACAAAUACCGUGGACAAUGCUUGCAUCGUUCUGCAGGUCGACAGUGCCCAUCUUGUUGCUGAUGACUUUAGAAUCAAGUAGGAGACAGAGCUGGCCAUGUGCCAGUCUGUGGAGAGCAACAUCCAUGGGCUCCACAAGGUCAUUGAUGACAUCAGUGUCACUUGGUUGCAGCUAGAGACAGAGAUCGAGGCUCUCAAGGAGGAGCUGCUCUUCAUGAAGAAGAACCACAAAGAGGAAGUAAAAGGCCUACAAGCCCAGAUUGCCAGCUCUGGGUUGACCGUGGAGGUAGAUACCCCAAAUCUCAGGACCUCGGCAAGAUCAUGACAGACAUCCGGGCCCAAUAUGACGAGCUGACUCAGAAGAACCGAGAGGAGCUGGACAAGUACUGGUCUCAGUAGACUGAGGAGGGCACCACAGUAGUCACCACGCAGUCCACCAAGGUUGGAGCUGCUGAGAUGACUCUCACAGAACUGAGAUGUACAGUCCUUGGAGAUCUAUCUGGACUCCAUGAGAAAUCUGAAGGCCAGCUUGGAGAACAGCCUGAGGGAGGUGGAGGCCUGCUAUGCCCUGCAGAUGGAACAGCUCAGCGGGAUACUGCUGCACCUGGAGUCAGAGCUGGCAUAGACCCAGGCAGAGAGAUAGCACUAGGCCCAGGAGUAGGAGGCCCUGCUGAACAUAAGGUCAAGCUGGAGGCUGAGAUCGCCACCUACUGCCGCCUGCUGGAAGAGAGCGAGGACUUCAAUCUUGGUGAUGCCCUGGACAGCCGCAACUCCAUGCAAACCAUCCAAAAGACCACUACCCACCAGAUAGUGGAUGGCAAAAUGGUGUCUGAGACCAAUGAAGCUCAUGGUCUGAUUUACAAAUCAAUGAAGUAGUUUCAAACUACUACAACAACAUUGCUCCUCCCUGGGUCUGCAGCUCCACGACCCUCAAACUAGAAGAAGACCUCUCCUCCCUGGGUUGCCAGCUCCCAGACCCUCAAACUUCAACAACAUGGCUCCUGCCUGGGUCUGCAACUCCAGGACCCUCAAAUGAGAACAAGACCUCUCCUCCCUGGGUCACCAGGUUCCAGACCCUCGAACUAAAACAACAUUGCUCCUCCCUAGGUCUACAGCUCUAUGACCCUUACCCUAGAACAGCAGCACCAGCUCCUUCCUGGACCUCCAGCUCAAUGACUCUCAGACUGCAAAGGUAGCACCGGCUCCACCCCCGGCUGCAGGUCCAAUGCAAUCAGAUUUGAGCAGUGGCAACACCAGCUCCUGUCUGUCUCUUCCGCGUCAUGAUCCUUAAGUUAGAACAGCAGCACCAUCUCCUCCCUGGGUCUCCAGCUCCACGAACCUCAAACUGGAACAGCAGCACCAGCUCCUCUGGGAUCUUCAACUCCUUGACCCUAAGGCAUCAGUGGCAGCACCGGCUCCUCCCGUGGGCUCCGGCUCCAGGACCCUCAGACCGGAACAAAAACACCAGCUCCUCCCCAUGCCUCCGGCUCCUUGACCCUCAUAAACCAUCCCUUCUCCUGAAAUGUAGCAGUCAGGAAAACUGCAGGGGAAGUAAAUAAAUAAAUGUUUUCCUUUCUAA